rnacentral:rRNA from 1 species
GAGUUUGAUCCUGGCUCAGGAUGAACGCUAGCGGCAGGCUUAACACGUGCAAGUCGAGGGGUAUAGUAGCAAUACUAGAGACCGGCGCACGGGUGCGUAACGCGUAUGCAAUCUACCUUUCACAGAGGGAUAGCCCAGAGAAAUUUGGAUUAAUACCUCAUAGUAUUACGAGUUCGCAUGGAUUUGUAAUUAAAGUCACAACGGUGAAAGAUGAGCAUGCGUCCCAUUAGCUAGUUGGUAAGGUAACGGCUUACCAAGGCAACGAUGGGUAGGGGUCCUGAGAGGGAGAUCCCCCACACUGGUACUGAGACACGGACCAGACUCCUACGGGAGGCAGCAGUGAGGAAUAUUGGUCAAUGGGCGCAAGCCUGAACCAGCUAUGCCGCGUGCAGGAUGACGGUCCUAUGGAUUGUAAACUGCUUUUAUACAGGAAGAAACACUCGGACGUGUCCGAGCUUGACGGUACUGGUANGAAUAAGGAUCGGCUACUCCGGGCCAGCAGNCCGCGGUAAUACGGAGGAUCCAAGCGUUAUCCNGAAUCAUUUGGGUUUAAAGGGGUCCGUAGGCGGGCUUAAUAAGUCAGGUGGGUGAAAUC